rnacentral:tRNA from 1 species
GGACCAUAGUUCAGUGGUAGAACAUUUGCUUGGCAUGCAGAAGGUCCCAGGUUCAAUCCCCCGCAUCUUCG